CUUGGUUACUACUAUUUCAUUGGCAAAAAAAUUUCAUCAAAAUUAACAGUAGGAAAAUUUUUGAUAAAAUUUGAGUUAUUUUUUUUUAAAUUUGGCAUUUAAGAUUGUACUAUAUUAGAUAAGAUUAGUACACUCAUAAAGAAGAAGCUGUAUUUUAAUUUUCUUGUUGCUCCUAAAUUUAAAAAUUUCUGUUAGUUUGAAAAAAUGUCGGGCGAUUAUAGCGAUAUUAUUGCAUCGAUUUUGAUGGAACAGCUUCAACAACCGCUCCCAGCCCUCAUGCAUGUCAUACGCAACCCAGAAGAAGACGAUUCAUCAAGACGGAACGUCAUAAUGGCGCACCGCAUUGUGAAAAUGCAUAAACCAUCGGAUAGAACCACUGAUGAGGGCAUGCAAGAUUCAACAGCAGAAUCGCACGAUUUGACAGGUCCAAGUACAAGCAGAAGUGAUGAAAGAGUACCGAACGAACAUUCUUUAAAUUCUCGUGACACACAUUCUUCUUAAAUGCACAAUACACAUUUACAGACCUCUGCAUUACACUACAACAAAUUUACUGCUGCUCAGAGACAUCAUUACAAUCUAAUGCUGUACCUACAAACCAUUGAAAUUAGAACUUCUAUAUAAUUAUUGGAUAAUUAUGGAGGUUAUGUUAAACUUCUUUUGUGAAAAAUUUAAAUGGAAGCUACUUUAGAUGCAACUACUGAGAAAACUGCAUGAACUACAAUAACAUCUACAUUUGUUGGAACAGAAGCUAUACAAAAUCAAUAUGAAUUUUAGGACCAGUAAUCUACAUUGAUCCUUUGUGGUUCUUUUUGAGUCUCAUUUAAUUCCUGCUCAUUUCUCCGUACGCAACUGACAAGUUAUUUUCCUGUCAAUUAUCGUUUGGGUCCUAAGAAAACCGAAUUUUAUGUAUAAAUGGUGUUUAUGUUCGUUCUAUGUUAUAAAGGAAACUGUAGAAUCAGAAAGUACAAUCAUGAUUUGCAUUAUUCUUCUAUAUAAUCCGAGGUGUUCUCAAAACAUUUGCACAAGAUGAUGAAGACUUGAAAAGGAUGACACCUCUGACAGUGCCAAUCACAUCUACUUUAAUGCAACCAAUAUAAAACUAAGUUUGCCUGAACACUUUCAGUACUUCACCUUGAAUGAAGAAAUCAAACUAACUCAUGCAAAAUAAAUUAUGAUUAGAUUCUGAAA